ACAAGAUUAGCAUGUUUGGUUGUGUAUUGUUUCUUUUGUUUCUGGUUGUAAUAGGAUUAGUAUUGGCAACAGUGUUUGGUUGUGUAUUGUAAGGAAAGGUUCAUAAGGACAGUUUGGUUGUGUAGAUUUUGGCUAAGUUUUUUUUUUUUCUUUUUUCUUUUUUCUUUUUGUGCUUAAGUUGUGUGGAUGUGCAGAAAUAUAAUGUAUUAGAAUUUUUUAGCAUAUUGUUAGCCAUUGCAUAUUGUUGGCAGUUUUGUUAGCAUAUUAUUAGGCAAAACAUUGUGUACAAGAUUGGCAUAUUUGUUAGCAUUUUUGUUAGCCAUUUUUGUGACUGUUUAUUAGGCAAGGCAUUAUAUUUGAAACUUGAAAAUUUUGAAUUCUAUGCAGGGAGAUGCAAGAUGUAAAUUUUUUAUAUGGGCAGAUAUAUUGCACUUAGUAGAGGGAAAUAUUUUAAAGAAAGAAUGUU